GCAGAGGUUGCAGUGAGCUUAGAUGUCGCCACUGCAUUGCAGCCUGGGUGGACAGAGUGAGACUCUGUCUCAAAAAAAAAUAAUAAUAAAUAAAUAAAAAGGAAAAUGUCAUUUUCAGUGAUCAUCGGGGCACCCUGGGCCUGUGGGUUGUGUUUUGUAUAGGAGAGAGCAUUGUUGGUAAAUGGAAAUAUCUAUGCAAAAGCACCAAAAGUUAGGUAUAUUGAAGGCCAUUCAGUGUGGCUGAAUAUAGGGUCUGUGGCCACACAAUCGGGAAAAUGCUGCAAAGAAAUAACUUGGCCUGAGGCUUCUCACAAUCUCUUUUCCAUCUACAGUGGUUUGAAUCCUCGGGCAUCCACGUAGCAGCACUGGUAGUGGGAGAGUGCUGUCCUACUCCCAGCCACUGGAGUGCCACCCGCACCCUGCAUGAGUGGCUGCAGCAGCAUGGCAUCCCUGGCUUGCAAGGUAUGGUGGCAAGCAGGGGCAUAUUUGGGCAGAGCACAGCAUGCCGGGAUGGAAAGAAUCAAGGUUUCUGUAAUCUGCUGGGACCUGACUCUAAGAUUGUGAUAGUUGGAAGGUUUAGAUUGGAGUUGGGCUGGGAGAAAGAAUUGAACUAUCACUCAGAAAGAAAAUUUCCAACACAGGAAGGAACUCCCACCUUCCAUAAUCAUCAGCUUAGGGCUAAUCUUAUUUCAUCACCACCACUGGAUUAUUUUGAUGCAAAUCUCAGACAUCAUAUCAUUUCAUCUACAAAUAGUUCAAUAUCUAUGCAUUUUUUUAACUGUUCAUUUGAAUCUUGCUCUAAACAGGGUUCACGCGUUGCAUUUGGUUGAUAAGUCUCUUAAUCUUUGGACCUCGUAACCUAUUUGAAAACAGGUCAUUUUUCCUGUAUCUAGUAUCCCAUAGUCUGCACUUACUUAGUUACACUCCUAUAGUGUUACUUAGCAUAUUCUUUUUUUCCCUUUAUAUUAUUUUCUAUAAAUGGAUAGAUUUAGAGUUGUUCAAUUCAGAUGUGAUAUUUUUGGCAGGAAUACUUCAUGGUAGUAUACUUCUGUCA
rnacentral:lncRNA from 1 species